UACGUAGGGGACAAGCGUUGUCCGGAAUUACUGGGUGUAAAGCGCGUGUAGGCGGCCUGCCAAGUCUGCUGUGAAAGCGCCUGGCUUAACCGGGCGAGGUCGGUGGAAACUGGCGGGCUGGAGGCCGGUAGAGGGGGGUGGAAUUCCCGGUGUAGUGGUGAAAUGCGUAGAGAUCGGGAGGAACACCAGUGGCGAAGGCGGCCCCCUGGGCCGGGCCUGACGCUGAGACGCGAAAGCGCGGGGAGCGAACGGG
rnacentral:rRNA from 1 species